AUUGAACGCUGGCGGCAUGCCUAACACAUGCAAGUCGAACGAGUGGCGGACGGGUGAGUAAUGUCUGGGAACCUGCCCGAUGGCGGGGGAUAACUACUGGAAACGGUAGCUAAUACCGCAUACCAUCGGAUGUGCCCAGAUGGGAUUAGCUAGUAGGUGGGGUAACGGCUCCCCUAGGCGACGAUCCCUAGCUGGUCUGAGAGGAUGACCAGCAACACUGGAACUGAGACACGGUCCAGAGUCCUACGGGAGGCAGCAGUGGGGAAUCUUGCACAAUGGGCGCAAGCCGGAUGCAGCCAUGCCGCGUGUAUGAAGAAGGCCUUCGGGUUGUAAAGUACUUUCAGCGAGGAGGCGUUACUCGCAGAAGAAGCACCGGCUAACUCCGUGCCAGCAGCCGCGGUAAUAC
rnacentral:rRNA from 1 species